UCUCUCUCUCUCUCUCUCUCUGCUUCAGUUUCAUUGAUUUUUAUUGAUCUGUCAUCAAAUUCACUAAUCCUUUCUUCUGGUUUAUCUAGUCUGCUAUUAAAUCUAAAUCUGUGGGCUUUUAAAAUGGGCUUUUAAUUUCAGAUGUGCUUUGUAAUUGUAGAAUGUUCACUUGGUUCUUUUUAUACAUUCUGUUUCUCUGUUGAAAUUCAUCUUCCCAUCCCAUGUUCCUUCUGCCAUCUUUUCCUCUAUUUUCUUUUUAAAAUUUAUUAUUAUUUUUUUCUCUAGCGCAUAUCAGCCAGAUAUUUUCUUUAACAUAUUUAUAACAGAUAGUGCCAUUGCCUGUUAAUUCCAAUACUGCAUCAUCUGCAGGUCUGCCUCUGUCAGCUGUUUUUCCCCUUAUUUCCCCUUUAAAGUGGUUGUAAGUCACAUUUUCUGCUUCUUUGUAUAUCUUAAAUGUUUAAAUUGUAUGCCAGACAUUGUAUAUAAAAAGAAUGUAGAAACCAAAGCUGAGGUUUCCCCUGCAGAGGAAGCUGCUCUUUCCUGUUAGGCAGUUCGAUUAAGGGCUUAUCACCUCAAUUCAACCAUUAAUUGAUCUAGGUUGGGGCAAGGUUGUAGCUUUAGAUAGACUUAGUUUAUCUUGAGUUUCAAAUUUCUUGAUGGGAAAAAGUGUUUUUUUUUUUUUUGAGACGCUCACCCUGUCGCCCAGGCUGGAGUGCAGUGGCAAGAUCUUGGCUCACUGCAAUCUCUGCCUCCCAGGUUCAAGCAAUUCUCCUGCCUCAGUCCCCUGAGUAGCUGGGAUUACAGGUGUGCUCCACCAUGCCCGGCUAAUUUUUAGUAGAGACAGCGUUUCACCGUGUUGGUCAGGCUGGUCUCGAACUCCUGACCUCAGGUGAUCCACCCACCUCGGCCUCCCAAAGUGCUAGGAUUACAGGCAUGAGCCACCACACCCAGCCCAAAGUGUUCUAUUUUGACUACAGGUAAUCUCCCUCCAAUGAUAUGCCCUCUCAAGACCUUGUGACUUUGGAUGAUUUUAUUCUGCAUUUCUAGCCCAGCCUUCUGCAUUCAGAAAAGUCCCAUAGGGAAAACCAGAUACACAUUCAGGGCUCCUCCAGAUUCCUGUCUAUCACAUCAGUUUUAUUUGGCCAUGUGUAGCUCUUCUGGUUUCUCUUCCUCCAACUAGAGUGACUUUGUCUUUGGCGAGCUCGAUCCUAAGCCCAUACCUAGACCUGGCAGAUACCCCUAGGAAGAAAAAUGGACACUGGUGUCUACUCACCAAGGAAAGACUCUUACUUUUCUGGAAUUUAAAUCCUAUUGAUCUCUCUGUGUCCAUAGCUCUCUGAUGAUUUUUUAAAUGUGAUAUUUGUAAUUUUUUUUCCUAGUUGUUACCAUGGAAAUGAUGGUCUGCCCGUAUCUUCUGUAAAAACUGGAAUUAGAAAUCCUUUACCAUAUAACUUUCUGAUAAAUGUAUAGCUAUUUUCUUUGUACAAGAGAAUAACAAGUUCUAACAAAAGCUAUGUGACAUUUCUUAUAAUUUCUUGAUUAUUCAGCUUUUAACUUAAAUAACACAUGCUGUGUGAUCAUUCUGUAUUUAUAAAAUUGGACUUGUUAGAGCCAAGUGAUCAUUUAAAUUGUAUCUGCUUGGUAAAUGCAGGUGUAUCUGUUGCUGAUCGAGAGGCCAGUCUGGAAUUAAUUAAGUUGGACAUAUCCCGUACAUUUCCAUCUCUCUACAUCUUUCAGAAGGGUGGUCCAUAUCAUGAUGUCUUACACAGUAUUUUAGGGGCAUACACAUGCUACAGGCCUGAUGUUGGUUAUGAUCUUCACGCUAUAUAGCAAAUCACUACCACUUGAUCUGGCCUGUCGAGUCUGGGAUGUAUUUUGCAGAGAUGGGGAAGAAUUUUUAUUUAGGACUGGAUUAGGAAUCCUCCGAUUAUAUGAAGAUAUUCUCCUGCAGAUGGACUUUAUUCAUAUAGCACAGUUUCUAACUAAAUUGCCAGAAGAUAUCACGUCGGAAAAGCUGUUCAGUUGUAUUGCAGCCAUUCAGAUGCAGAAUAGCACCAAAAAAUGGACUCAGGUCUUUGCAUCUGUAAUGAAGGAUAUUAAAGAAGGAGACAAGAACAGUAGUCCUGCUUUGAAAAGCUAGUCUUCAAAAUUGACAGACUAACUGACAUAGAAAAAGUGGUUUUUGGAUAAAGGUUUUUUGUUUCCUAUGUAAAAGGCGUGGAAGAAAAUGUUGGAGAUACCUAAAAGAAUCAAGAGGUGGAAAACUGCUGAUUUUACAUUUUAUGGCUGAAGUAAAUGAAAUAAGUAACUUAUUGACAGUAUUAAUAAACUAUUAUUUUGU
rnacentral:sRNA from 1 species